AAGAAAAACCAAAAGAAAAGCUGCUAACUCUUUCUCAAGCAAUUAAUAUAUGCUUUUUUCUUG
rnacentral:tRNA from 1 species